GUAUCUUAUUACCACGCCUCUUUGAUAGAGGGACCCGGCAACACAAUGGCUGAAAUAACAGGGUGUACACAGCAAUCACGUUAAGUGCGAGCACAAGUAAAACAACGACAUCUCCAUAAAGCAGAAGGCUCGAGAGCCGUCGUCACAAUAAGAGCGUGGCUCCGUGAAGGGGAACACAACAUCAGCUUUUUGUUUUGGUUUUAAACGUCUCCUGUGAUCUUCAACGUGGCGAUGUAUGCCAUGUUCUUUUGUUAAUAAGUAUGAGAGGCAAUGCAGAAAGAAUUGUUUGUAAUUCCGAGCUUUUAUGCCGCAAACCAGUGUUUUGUGUUUCCUAUCGUGUUUUAUUGUAGCUGAAACAGUGGGUUCAUUACACUAUAAAUCUUCAGCAUCUCAAAUGUACCAGUUCCAACGAAAGCCCGUUGCAGCGCAUUGGCAGAUGAAGACACAGACAGUCCCAAGGGAACAGGACAGAAUGUAACAACCACAAGAUGGAUGCCUUCAGGGGACGCUUCUCCAGCCUAUGAAGAAGAACAUUUCUCCUGCUUAUGUCUGCAGGGUACUGACGCAACUUUGGAAAAGGCGUGAAUAAAUCCGAAACAAAUUCCCAGCCCAAUUAACUUUAAUAUCGCUAAUUAAUUUCGUGAAUCCUUUCAUAUUCCGCGUUGUUUGUUCUUAAAAUAAAGCGUUUAGUCAAAUCAGAAAAUAUAAUGCAUUAGCACCAACGGGAACGAAUCCAAUGAUCCUGAAACCAUAAUAUCACCAGCAAUGCUUCAAAAAGGUGUUGCUGUACACGUCUAGAUUGCAAUUCAAUUAUAAAAUCCACCAAACAGACUCAGACUCCACUCUCCAGACUGUGACCUUCGGGUCCCAUUGCAACCAAACAAAGUGCAGUUCAACCAUAACUUUUCAUCAAGUCUCUAAGUGCAUGACCUCCAAUUAAAGGGGUGAUAUUAUGCCACAAGUGUGUGUGAUUAGCCUUUUCAGGCCGUUUUAAUAUCGACCUUUUGCUGUGUUUUAAUUGUACACCUAGAUGCAAGCUGGAUAGAUCAGUCUACCAGCCCACCUAGUGGACUCUAGCAGAUGUUGCUUAUCUAUCCGUCAUACAUCUACUCUAGGUGGACACUCCCACUUGUGAUAAAACACUGGAAAGGGACGAUUUUCAAACGGCUUGUAACGGCUAAUCACACCCACACCUGGUGGCAUCACAUCACCCCUUUAAGCAACGUCUGCUCCCAGAAUAAUUACAUGCCCAAGUUAGCCCACCUGGCCAGUCCCCAGCAGUUCAAAUAUAGGCUGGAUCCUGGAG
ensembl:lncRNA